rnacentral:rRNA from 1 species
GAAUAUUGCACAAUGGGCGAAAGCCUGAUGCAGCGACGCCGCGUGGGGGAUGACGGCCUUCGGGUUGUAAACCCCUUUCAGUAGGGAAGAAGCGAAAGUGACGGUACCUGCAGAAGAAGCGCCGGCUAACUACGUGCCAGCAGCCGCGGUAAUACGUAGGGCGCAAGCGUUGUCCGGAAUUAUUGGGCGUAAAGAGCUCGUAGGUGGCUUGUCGCGUCUGCCGUGAAAACCCGAGGCUCAACCUCGGACGUGCGGUGGGUACGGGCAGGCUAGAGUGUGGUAGGGGAGACUGGAACUCCUGGUGUAGCGGUGAAAUGCGCAGAUAUCAGGAAGAACACCGAUGGCGAAGGCAGGUCUCUGGGCCAUUACUGACACUGAGGAGCGAAAGCAUGGGUAGCGAACAG